CAUGUCUUUUUGAUAAUAAUUUAAGGUUUAAUCUGCUCAAUGAUGAUAUUAAAUUGCCGCAGUAUUUUAACUGUGCGAAGGUAGCAUAAUAAUUAGUUUCUUGAUUAGAAGCUGGAAUGAAUGAUUGGACGAGAAAAUUACUGUCUCUUUUAGAUUGUUUAUUGAAUUUUAUUUUUAAGUUAAAAAGCUUAAAUUUUAAUAAAAGACGAGAAGACCCUAUAGAGUUUUAUAUUUAUUUUAUUAUUAAGAUUUAGUAAAUAUUUUAUUAAUUAAAUAUUUAGUUGGGGUGACUUAAAGAUUAAAAUAAUUCUUUAAAUUUUUAAUUGUUGAUAAAUAAUUUCUAAAUCUAGGUUUUUAAAUUUAAAAUUAAUUACCUUAGGGAUAACAGCGUAAUUUUUCUUUAAAGUUCUUAUUGAAAGAAAAUUUUGCGACCUCGAUGUUGGAUUAAAAUUAAUUUUUGGUGCAGUAACUAAAAAAUUAGGUCUGUUCGACCUUUAAAAUUUUACAUGAUCUGAGUUUAGACCGGCGUAAGCCAGGUCGGAUUCUAUCUUUAGUUUUUUUAUACAUUUUAGUACGAAAGGGCCAAAUGUGUAUUAUAAAUAAUUG
rnacentral:rRNA from 1 species